GCAAUGCAUGCCUCCAGCAGGAUGCACCAGCCUGGUCUCAUAGACUAGUCAUAACAUAGUAAAUAUUAGGGCCUCCCGAGUGGCGCAGCAGUCUAAGGGAGACCAAUGACUGGCGACCGGUAGACCCAUGUGGCUUCGACCUUCGCAUGGCUCUCGACCUUCGCCUCCCCUGAGUCUGUAGGGGAGUUGCAGCAGUGGGACAAGACGGAUGACAAAGUGGACAGUUGGGUGCCAGAGUGAUCCCAUGGUCAUGAAUGGAUGCUGGGACCUAACAGAUGCAGCAAAGCUUGUCAAGCAAGACCUCAGAAUGAAAGUGUGAAAUAUGACAAGUACCCUUGUGACACCGCCUCCAUUGUUGCCAGAGUCUCCCUUAACUCCAAUGAAAAGGACACAUCAUCACGAGGUCUCUGAUAGUGACCAGAGUUACUACCUUGAUGAAAGACUGCUUCAUCGACGACAGAUUCUCCCAGUCAACAACCACCUCAUAAGAUUGCCUGCUGCAGUUGUUCAAGAGAUACCAGUUUGA
rnacentral:lncRNA from 1 species